ACUCCUACGGGAGGCAGCAGUAGGGAAUCUUCCACAAUGGGUGCAAGCCUGAUGGAGCAACACCGCGUGAGUGAAGAAGGGUUUCGGCUCGUAAAGCUCUGUUGUUAAAGAAGAACACGUAUGAGAGUAACUGUUCAUACGUUGACGGUAUUUAACCAGAAAGUCACGGCUAACUACGUGCCAGCAGCCGCGGUAAUACGUAGGUGGCAAGCGUUAUCCGGAUUUAUUGGGCGUAAAGAGAGUGCAGGCGGUUUUCUAAGUCUGAUGUGAAAGCCUUCGGCUUAACCGGAGAAGUGCAUCGGAAACUGGAUAACUUGAGUGCAGAAGAGGUAGUGGAACUCCAUGUGUAGCGGUGGAAUGCGUAGAUAUAUGGAAGAACACCAGUGGCGAAGGCGGCUACCUGGUCUGCAACUGACGCUGAGACUCGAAAGCAUGGGUAGCGAACAGGAUUAGAUACCCCUGGUAGGAUAGCG
rnacentral:rRNA from 1 species